ensembl:lncRNA
GAGUGGUGCAUUAGUUUGGCCACGAGUCCUGCUCCCACACAGGCUCGGGUCCCCAAAGGCCAGCAGUGGCUCUGUCUGUCAUCCAGCCCUGGGCAGCCUGACAGCUCCCCCUUACUACACUGUUGAGUUUGAGGAGUCACCCACCAGAUUCCAGUUGGACACCCUCUUGACAGCCUCACUCCCCGGAGCCUCCGGGGACUCCUGCUCUGAGCUCUCAGAAAUUGGCAUGACAGGAUGGUGUUGGUUUUAGAGAAUGGUUUUUUGACAGGUAAACAAUCACCACAGCAAAUCACUUACAUUCCUACCAUGGAAAGACAUUCUGCAUGUAUAUAAACAUGAAAACAGCAAGUCUUUUCGUCCAAAGGAGAUCAAGGCCCUGCCUAAAAGGCAGUGUGGAGAAG